rnacentral:lncRNA from 1 species
GUGAUGGGGUAGAAAGUUGUUCCAAAUAUUAACUGGUCUCGUGAGAUGUCUUCUUGGCUGCAGCCUGACCAUCUAACGUACUGCUUUUCCUCCAGCUGCUGCCUCCUCCUUUCCCUCUGCCGCAGGCUGGAAUGAAGGGCGGCGGGUGGCCAGGGUGGGGGGGCGGGGAGGAGAAGGAGGAGCAGCAAAGUUGGCCAGGGUCCUGCUGGCUGGGGACCAGGACUGCCUCCCUAAACAAGCAAGCAGGGGCGCAUACAGCCCUGGGUUGAGUUGUUGCCCUUAAUCAUCUGGCCACAGCAGGAAUAAGAGGCUCCCGGAAAACCCUGGCUCUUGGCUAUCUCUUCCAUGAGCACACCCUCGCCCUGGGGCCUGAGAUCUCUCCAUGCAGAGGCAGCCAUGAACUGCGGGGGCAGCAGCAAGGCUGGCCACACCACCCACCCCGCCACCUCCGGCCCCGCCGCUCAACCAGCCAUCAGUCCCUUAACUGCCAGUGUUCGUGGACCAUGCAAAACAACCAACAGAUCCCAGCCAGCCUAGAAGCAGGCUCACGGUUUUCCAUGGAGGGCUUGGAUAGUAAACUGAUCCUGGAUGUUGGCGGCAUAUGCCACCUGAUCUACAUCAGCACCAUGAGGGCCUUUCCAGGAGGAAGAGAAGGGACCCUCUCAGGUCUAACUUCAAAUCAAGCCACUGGGUUGUCUGAGGAAGUAUCCCAAGCAACUAGUCUGGACUGGGAGGUUGAAUUGAGCCCUUGCUGUUGCUGAAGCUGUGAGAAUAAUUCUGUUUACAAAACUUUUAAAUAAAAUAUCCUUCAAAAUAUCCUUCA